UCAUUAAUUUAUCAUAUACACGAGUAUAUAAAUUUUCCUAUGCCCCGGCCACGUUUGAUGUGAUGAUUAUCCAAUUGGCCGAGGGAAGUCAUUACGCGACUAGUCUACACAUCAAGGGUUGAUAAUGACCUUAAGCUAGGGUCCAUCGCAUUUGAUUAAAUACCUUAAUGAACUUCUCCCACCACCAUCUAGGGUUUCAGCUUUCGAAAAACCCACAUCCUUCUUUUCUCUCCCUACACUCAGCUCUUAACGUUUAUCCUUUUCCUUCUCAAUUUCCGCUUUUAAUAGGUUUCAAGCUAGAAAGGCUUCAUCUUUCAGUUUGACUUUGUCAAUGAUUUUUUUGUACAAAUUGAUGGUUGUGUUUCUUUAUGAUUGGCUAUUUCCACUCCUGCAAGUCGCAAUUAAGUGAUAGUGGUGCUGCUUUAAUUUGAUUUUGUUGGUGUUUGUGAGCCUAAGCCGAACUUAGCAUGAUAGGAUUGGUGGGCCUGGACCUUCAUUUCUCACGGGAUAUUUUUUAUCAAUGUCGGGCAGUGAGUGCAAUCUUUCUCUUUUUUUUUUUUUUAAUCUUAAUAUGUUGGUUUAUGAUGGGAAGGCAAGUGGAUUUUGUUAGUGUUCCACUCACACAAGUAAAUUAUUAUCUUUAGAAGGUCCAAUUAAAUAAACUAGAAGACAUUUCCCAUGGUU